rnacentral:rRNA from 1 species
UAUCUCUGUAGAGUCUGCAUAUCAAUAAGCGGAGGAAAAGAAACUAACUAGGAUUCCCUCAGUAACGGCGAGUGAAGCGGGAAGAGCUCAAAUUUGAAAUCUUCAAGGUUUUACCUUGACGAAUUGUAGUUUAAAGAAGUGUUUUCUGUUGGAGUUUUGGUAAAAGUUCUUUGGAAUAGGACAUCAUAGAGGGUGAGAAUCCCGUAUUUGACCAUUACUUCCAGCUUUGUGAUACACUUUCAAAGAGUCGGAUUGUUUGGGAAUGCAGUCCAAAAUGGGUGGUAAAUUUCAUCUAAAGCUAAAUAUUGGCGAGAGACCGAUAGCGAACAAGUACCGUGAGGGAAAGAUGAAAAGAACUUUGAAAAGAGAGUUAAACAGUACGUGAAAUUGUCAAAAGGGAAGCGUUUGACACCAGUGUUGUUUUCUCGAAAAUCAAUUAAAAAAGGCAGGAUUUUGUGUUGUAUUGACUUUAUCAGCUUUCUGCACUCUUUUCUUGUCUUUUUUUAAUGCACUUUUCGUUUAACAAGUCAACAUCAAUUUCUUUUGUUGUAAAAGGGUCAUUGGAAGGUGGCUUUCUUUUCGGAGAAAGUGUUUAUAGCCUUUGGCCUCUGCAAUCGGAGAGAUUGAGGUCUGCAGCGUAGAUCCUUCGGGGUUAGAUACAUUUGUGCUAAGUUAUAGCCUUUCAUAGACAACUUGUUGACUAUGAUCAGUCAUGUAGCUUACUCGCUUAUGCUAUUUUACCUACGCUUAGGAUGUUGAAGAUGUAGCACAUCAU